rnacentral:rRNA from 1 species
AACGAACGCUGGCGGCAGGCUUAACACAUGCAAGUCGGGCGCCCCGCAAGGGGAGCGGCAGACGGGUGAGUAACGCGUGGGAAUCUACCCAUCUCUACGGAAUAACGCAUGGAAACGUGUACUAAUACCGUAUACGUCCUUCGGGAGAAAGAUUUAUCGGAGAUGGAUGAGCCCGCGUUGGAUUAGCUAGUUGGUGGGGUAAAGGCCUACCAAGGCGACGAUCCAUAGCUGGUCUGAGAGGAUGAUCAGCCACACUGGGACUGAGACACGGCCCAGACUCCUACGGGAGGCAGCAGUGGGGAAUAUUGGACAAUGGGCGCAAGCCUGAUCCAGCCAUGCCGCGUGAGUGAUGAAGGCCCUAGGGUUGUAAAGCUCUUUCACCGGUGAAGAUAAUGACGGUAACCGGAGAAGAAGCCCCGGCUAACUUCGUGCCAGCAGCCGCCGUAAAAC